rnacentral:tRNA from 1 species
GGCCGCUUAGCUCAGCUGGUUAGAGCAUCGUACUAAUACCCAGUCUGGUUAUCAGUUCAUGCGGAGGUCGGCAGUUCGAUCCUGUCAGUGGUCA